GAUGAAGAACGUAGCGAAAUGCGAUACUUGGUGUGGAUUGCAGAAUCCCGUGAACCAUCGAGUCUUUGAACGCAAGUUGCGCCCGAAGCCAUUAGGCCGAGGGCACGCCUGCCUGGGCGUCACACGUCGUUGCCCCCCCAUCUACUCCUUCGGGAUUGCGGGGGGCGGAUGAUGGCCUCCCGUGCGCCUCGCCGCGCGGUUGGCAUAAAUGCCAAGUCCUCGGCGACGCACGCCACGACAAUCGGUGGUUGCGAAACCUCGGUUGCCCGUCGUGUGCGGUCGUCGCGCAUCGAGGGCUCGAAAAAAUUGCCGGGUUCCGGCUCGGCUUUCAACGCGACCCCAGGUCAGGCGGGGUUACCCGCUGAAUUUAAGCAUAUCAAUAAGCGGAGGA
rnacentral:misc_RNA from 1 species